rnacentral:rRNA from 1 species
AUUGAACGCUGGCGGCAGGCCUAACACAUGCAAGUCGAACGGUAACAGGAAGCAGCUUGCUGCUUCGCUGACGAGUGGCGGACGGGUGAGUAAUGUCUGGGAAACUGCCUGAUGGAGGGGGAUAACUACUGGAAACGGUAGCUAAUACCGCAUAACGUCGCAAGACCAAAGAGGGGGACCUUAGGGCCUCUUGCCAUCGGAUGUGCCCAGAUGGGAUUAGCUAGUAGGUGGGGUAACGGCUCACCUAGGCGACGAUCCCUAGCUGGUCUGAGAGGAUGACCAGCCACACUGGAACUGAGACACGGUCCAGACUCCUACGGGAGGCAGCAGUGGGGAAUAUUGCACAAUGGGCGCAAGCCUGAUGCAGCCAUGCCGCGUGUAUGAAGAAGGCCUUCGGGUUGUAAAGUACUUUCAGCGGGGAGGAAGGGAGUAAAGUUAAGACCUUUGCUCAUUGACGUGACCCGCAGAAGAAGCACCGGCUAACUCCGU